CAGCCGCCGCGGGAAUACGAAGGGCGCAAGCGUUAAUCGGAAUUACUGGGCGUAAAGCGUGCGUAGGCGGUGAGUUAAGUCUGUUGUGAAAUCCCCGGGCUCAACCUGGGAAUGGCAAUGGAUACUGGCAAGCUAGAGUGUGUCAGAGGAUGGUGGAAUUCCCGGUGUAGCGGUGAAAUGCGUAGAGAUCGGGAGGAACAUCAGUGGCGAAGGCGGCCAUCUGGGACAACACUGACGCUGAGGCACGAAAGCGUGGGGAGCAAACAGGAUUAGAUACCCGCGUAGUCCCUGUCUCUUAUAA
rnacentral:rRNA from 1 species